UACAGAGGUCCCAAGCGGUGUUCGGAUGCACUGGGCGGAAAGGGUGCGUAGGCGGUGGGGUAAGGGGGAUGGGAAAUCUCACAGCUUAACUGUGAAACUGCAUUGGAUACUAUCCGGCUAGAGGAAUGGAGGGGAGACUGGAAUACUUGGUGUAGCAGUGAAAUGCGUAGAUAUCAAGUGGAACACCAGUGGCGAAGGCGAGUCUCUGGACAUUUCCUGACGCUGAGGCACGAAAGCCAGGGGAGCAAACGGG
rnacentral:rRNA from 1 species